AAUUCAAUAAAAAUUAAUUUCAUUCUCAAAUACAGCUACACGAUUUCUCUCACUAUUUUUAAUAUCAAACUAUCGAUAAUAUCCGUAAAGUUCUCGUUGUUUAUUAACGAAUUAUGUAAACAAUGUCUAGAGAAGAGUUGUACCGACUUUACCACAAUGCUGGUCACACGUCUGCAUCGUGGAAACUCACCAAGUGUUGGAUAAUAUGACUGUUUAUAUUAAUAAAAACCAACGAUUUUCGACGUUUGGGACAUGCCGCAUCCGAUUCGUAAAUACGAGGUAUUCCGAGUAACAAAUAUGACUCCACAGUAAUAAACAGUGGUAGUACUAUGUAAACAGAGACGCUAACCAGCACAGACUGAUCCUGCACCUCAAAGAGGAAAAUGCUCAUUUCUAUAAGUGUUGAACAAGAAAUUUUAUUUUAUAAAGCCUAUUUUCAAAAUGAUUGAUCAUCCAUCGUUUCACAACUGUUUUACUACACGGCUCUACAGAUCAAGAAACACGUGGAGAUGGAUAUAACAGAUCCGAACGAAUCGCAAAAGUGGAAAUAGCGAUGGACAGGAUUCUAAGUAUCAGAAAUAGUAAUAGAUAGAAUAGCGGUAAAAAGUUGGGAUGAUGGUAGCAGCAAUAAUACAUAAAACGAGUUUUCAAUCAAUAGAAGUGUUUGAAUAAGUAUGGUCGAUUUGGAACAUUUCAGCUGGUGAUGGGGUACUGAACCUUUAUGUACUACUGAAAAAAUUGAUGAAAUAUAAA
rnacentral:lncRNA from 1 species